AACGAACGCUGGCGGCGUGCCUAACACAUGCAAGUCGAACGAGAAAACGGGCUUCGGUCCGUGAGUAAAGUGGCAGACGGGUGAGUAACACGUGGGUAACCUGCCCGGAGGUGGGGGAUAACCCCCGGAACGGGGGACGUAUACCGCAUGACACCCCGAACGGCUUCGGCCUUUGGGUAGUCAAAGCUGGCCUCUACAUGUAAGCCAGUGCCACCGGAGGGGCCCGCGGCCCAUUAGCUAGUUGGUGAGGUAACGGCUCACCAAGGCGACGAUGGGUAGCCGGCCUGAGAGGGCGAUCGGCCACACUGGAACUGAGACACGGUCCAGACUCCUACGGGAGGCAGCAGUGAGGAAUCUUGCGCAAUGGGGGGAAACCCCUGACGCAGCGACGCCGCGUGGAGGACGAA
rnacentral:rRNA from 1 species